rnacentral:rRNA from 1 species
GACGAACGCUGGCGGCGUGCUUAACACAUGCAAGUCGAACGGAAAGGCCCUGCUUUUGUGGGGUGCUCGAGUGGCGAACGGGUGAGUAACACGUGAGUAACCUGCCCUUGACUUUGGGAUAACUUCAGGAAACUGGGGCUAAUACCGGAUAGGAGCUCCUGCUGCAUGGUGGGGGUUGGAAAGUUUCGGCGGUUGGGGAUGGACUCGCGGCUUAUCAGCUUGUUGGUGGGGUAGUGGCUUACCAAGGCUUUGACGGGUAGCCGGCCUGAGAGGGUGACCGGCCACAUUGGGACUGAGAUACGGCCCAGACUCCUACGGGAGGCAGCAGUGGGGAAUAUUGCACAAUGGGCGGAAGCCUGAUGCAGCAACGCCGCGUGCGGGAUGACGGCCUUCGGGUUGUAAACCGCUUUCGCCUGUGACGAAGCGUGAGUGACGGUAAUGGGUAAAGAAGCACCGGCUAACUACGUGCCAGCAGCCGCGGUGAUACGUAGGGUGCGAGCGUUGUCCGGAUUUAUUGGGCGUAAAGGGCUCGUAGGUGGUUGAUCGCGUCGGAAGUGUAAUCUUGGGGCUUAACCCUGAGCGUGCUUUCGAUACGGGUUGACUUGAGGAAGGUAGGGGAGAAUGGAAUUCCUGGUGGAGCGGUGGAAUGCGCAGAUAUCAGGAGGAACACCAGUGGCGAAGGCGGUUCUCUGGGCCUUUCCUGACGCUGAGGAGCGAAAGCGUGGGGAGCGAACAGGCUUAGAUACCCUGGUAGUCCACGCUGUAAACGGUGGGUACUAGGUGUGGGGUCCAUUCCACGGGUUCCGUGCCGUAGCUAACGCUUUAAGUACCCCGCCUGGGGAGUACGGCCGCAAGGCUAAAACUCAAAGGAAUUGACGGGGCCCCGCACAAGCGGCGGAGCAUGCGGAUUAAUUCGAUGCAACGCGUAGAACCUUACCUGGGUUUGACAUGGAUCGGGAGUGCUCAGAGAUGGGUGUGCCUCUUUUGGGGUCGGUUCACAGGUGGUGCAUGCCUGUCGUCAGCUCGUGUCGUGAGAUGUUGGGUUAAGUCCCGCAACGAGCGCAACCCUUGUUCACUGUUGCCAGCACGUUAUGGUGGGGACUCAGUGGAGACCGCCGGGGUCAACUCGGAGGAAGGUGGGGAUGACGUCAAGUCCUCAUGCCCCUUAUGUCCAGGGCUUCACGCAUGCUACAAUGGCUGGUACAGAGAGUGGCGAGCCUGUGAGGGUGAGCGGAUCUCGGAAAGCCGGUCUCAGUUCGGAUUGGGGUCUGCAACUCGACCUCAUGAAGUCGGAGUCCCUAGUAAUCGCAGAUCAGCAACGCUGCGGUGAAUACGUUCCCGGG